UGAGGAAGAUAAUGACGGUACUCAACAAGGAAGUGACGGCUAACUACGUGCCAGCAGCCGCGGUAAAACGUAGGUCACAAGCGUUGUCCGGAAUUACUGGGUGUAAAGGGAGCGCAGGCGGGAAGACAAGUUGGAAGUGAAAUCUAUGGGCUCAACCCAUAAACUGCUUUCAAAACUGUUUUUCUUGAGUAGUGCAGAGGUAGGCGGAAUUCCCGGUGUAGCGGUGGAAUGCGUAGAUAUCGGGAGGAACACCAGUGGCGAAGGCGGCCUACUGGGCACCAACUGACGCUGAGGCUCGAAAGUGUGGGUAGCAAACAGGAUUAGAUACCCUGGUAGUCCACACCGUAAACGAUGAUUACUAGGUGUUGGAGGAUUGACCCCUUCAGUGCCGCAGUUAACACAAUAAGUAAUCCACCUGGGGAGUACGACCGCAAGGUUGAAACUCAAAGGAAUUGACGGGGGCCCGCACAAGCAGUGGAGUAUGUGGUUUAAUUCGACGCAACGCGAAGAACCUUACCAAGUCUUGACAUCCCUUGACGAACAUAGAAAUAUGUUUUCUCUUCGGAGCAAGGAGACAGGUGGUGCAUGGUUGUCGUCAGCUCGUGUCGUGAGAUGUUGGGUUAAGUCCCGCAACGAGCGCAACCCUUAUGGUCAGUUACUACGCAAGAGGACUCUGGCCGGACU
rnacentral:rRNA from 1 species